GUGAGAAAUGUAGCUCAUGUCAUUGUUCACUCACUGGGACAAUGAAGCUGCUCUUAGUUGCAGUUUUUAUUUUAAUUGAUUUCUCCACUGGUGUAAACAUCGACCAGCCUCAGUCUGUGUUCAUCGGUGCAGGAGAAUCUUCUGUGACUUUGCAGUGUAAACAUGAUGAUAGUACACAUUACUACAUGUUCUGGUACCGACAAAUAAGCGGUGGGAAAUUAGAGCUGGUAGCAUACUCUCCAGGUCAAGGCUCAGCUAAAACUGAACCUCCUUUCACUGACUCCAAGUACACCAUGACCCGGCCCGCGGUGCUCGAGUCCUCUCUGCAGAUUCAAGGCGCUGAGGCUGCAGACUCGGCUGUGUAUUACUGCGCUUCUAGUAUAGCACAGUGGUUCAGAAAGCCUCAGCAGCUAAACAACAACCUGAGGAGGGAAGCAGGAGGAGAAUGGGAGGAGCAGGAGGCAACGAGGAAGGUCAAAGUGUCCAACCCUGACAGGAAAUGUGAAUUAUUUUCAAACUGACACCAAGUCUGACACAGAAAUGUAAAGAAACCUUGUUAUAAACUAAACAUUUUAUAAAUUCAUCAAAGCCAAAGAAGCGCCUCUCCUCACUUCACUGAUGUUUCUGCAGCACCGCAGAGCUGAUGUGGACAGAUAAUCGAGCAGCAGGUGUCGGGAAACAGAAACAAGAUUAUUCGUGUUUUUUCAGUUUUAUUUUUCUCCUUAACCUCUGUG